GCCUCCCCCGCCGCGCGCCGGGGUUUUUCCAGGGCUCAACUGGAGCAUGGCGGUGCCGCCUCCCUCACUUCCCCACUCAGACCCCGGCCUCCUGCGCCCGGGCUCGGGCGGCGACCCCGGCAAGACCCCGAGAUCACCUGCGGGGAGCUGUGCCCUCUCCAGAUGCGCCGCUCGCUCCGUCCCUCCGGGCCCCUAAGCCCCACGUGUGCGCGCAAAGUUGACAGUCUCCUGGCCCGCACGCCUCCGCGCUUGGCGCCCCGAGCCCCUCCCGGGCUGCAAGUUGGGGGACGGGGGUCAGGCGGGUGCGGAGCCGGGCCGCCAAUGCCUCCAGCAGUAAUGGGGGAGCCUGACUUCGCUGAAAGGGCCCCUCCUCCAGUUGCAUCUUUGUCAGCUCUAUCUGCUUCCUCCCAGUGUUAAGGCCCCCUCCCUCCCAAGCCAUCGGAGCAUGAGGAAGCCUUGGUUCCACACAGCUGGGCUUCUUGCUCACAGGCUAACGCAGAUGCCCUUUGCCCUUGUGAAGCUGGUGGGAAGUUGCCGAAGCUGAAACGAAGCCUGUGGCUGGGCACCAGCCCCUGGAAUAGAGGAACUUUCACCGAGAGCAAGCUGCAACAUUGGGGCUGCCUACAGAGGGAACAAGGAAUUGAGGCCUCUCCCUGAUGCCCCCAAGAAACUGAAUUCUGCCAACCACCUCAUGAGCUUGCAAGCAGAUUCCUCCCCAGUCAAGCCUCCGAUGAGACCUCAGCCCUAGCCAACACCUUGAUGGCAGCCCUGCAGAAGUCCCAGUCCAGGAUGUCCAGACUUCUGUGAGAAACUGUGAUAUAAUAAAUGUGUACUGCUUUAAGCGGU